CCGCAAGAGACGCCGCCGCCGCAAGAGACGCCGCCGCCGCCGCAGCCGGAGACGAGGCCGCAGACGGAGACACCGCAGCCGGAGACGGCGCAGCACAGGGGAUUGCAGAGGCCCUGUCCAGGAGGGUUGCUCUAGGGAGCUGGACCGCCCCUCCCUCUAGGUCGGAGCUGAGGUGGAGGGUGUGUGGCAGACGCCAGGGAGGAGUAAGGGGAGUGGUAGGUCCGGCAACCUGCUGGCUCCACCCCCAAGCCAUAUAUGGACUUCCCCCCUCUAACGAGGCAAGCCUGGGGAUCGUUAGGCAGGGGUGCUUGGGCUUAAGAGGGCGAGCAAACAGUCGGGAAGGGGAAGGAAGGCUAAGGGAAGGAAGGCUAGAGAAGCUAACGCUAGCAAAGGACCGGCAGGAUCUGUGUGAUCGCCUGGCAGUGUGGUACGCCCUGAGAGAGAGAGACAGGUGGAAGGUGUUGGACGGACAUUGAACUGGAGCAUAAAGGAGUUGGAUUACCCUUUUCCCACCCUGGUUUGGUUUACUCGAUGCACGUUCCAGGAUGAAUUGAAAAGCUCCCGUAAGGGCUGAGAUGGCAGAGGACAGCUGAUUUGGAACGGAGCAACAGCUGUUCG